UCUCCCUCCACACCUCCCUGCAAGCUGAGGGAGCCGGCUCUGGCCUUGGCCAGCCCAGGAAGGGACUCCCACAGUACAGCAGUGGGCUGAAGGGCUCCUCAAGUGCCCCCAUAGUGGAAGCCCAGGCAGAGGAGGCGCCAAGAGCGAGUGAGGGCUGUGAGGACUGCCAGCACGCUGUCACCUCUCAGCAUUGCCCAAGGAGAGUGGGCUAUGCGGGAGGAAAGAGAGAACUAGAAAGGAUUAUCUUGAUUAUUUAUAGAAAAGGUACAAGUGCUCCAUGGAGAAAAUGGUGAUUCAGCGCCUGAGCCAUGAAAUAUACAAGAUGAGCCUGGAGAAUCCUGCAGUUCUAGAAAGGUGCUCCUUGACAUCCUAUGAAAGAAUGUCCUUGAAGAAAGAUGCUAAAAUGUUCAACGAUUUUUUUAAAGCAGAAAGUCUGAAGUAGCUGCGUUUUUAUUUUAGGUUCAGUGGGUACAUGUGCAGGUUUGUUACAUGGAUGAAUUGCGUCACUGAGGUUUGGAGUACAAAUGUUUGUGUCACCCAGUAGUGAGCAUAGUAACCAACAGAUAAUGAAUAUCACUUUGGAAUAAAACAGCAAAUGAAAUAGUUGCAGAUUGUACCAUCAGUUUAUGUGGCCUCUAAGGGAGAAGAUUUCAUUUAAGAUACAAAGUCCGAAGAACAAAUCACUCCAACAGGAUUCAGCCUCGUCGUUUCCUGUGGAAAAAGAAAGAAAGAAAGAAAAAAGUUUGCCUACCUAUUUUGUGUUUUUCCUAUUUAAACAGAGUUUCAUGAGAACAGAAAAGUAGUCUUAGAGAUUUUGCCAAAAUUGCAGCAAUUACCUUUGAAGACUUGGCAAUGCUUAGUGGACAAGAAUCUGAAAGGUAGCUAAAAAGGUGCAUUCUAAGCGAUAGUACUUAUAUUGGUAUAAGCACUUUGUAGAAUUUUGUGUUCAUAUACAUAUGCACAUAUACAUAUAUACAAGCCUCUAUAGUCUCUUUCUGCAUAUAUACAUAUAAAAUCCUUAUCAACCCCAUGAUACAGAAAUGUAGCGUGUUGGUACACUCAGUUUGUCAACUGAGAAAACACUGUCUCAAUAAGGUUUAGCAAUUUACCACAUGGUACAUUUGGAAAAAAGACAAAGCAGACAGAGCUAUUUAGGUUCUUGGUGAAUUUCCCCUUUCCCUAAACCCACAGGCUUCUAUAACAUCAAUUACUAAUUUUGAGCCAAAUCAGUUGGCAAAAGGAAUUUUGUAAAUGAGUUAAUGAAAAGGGAGAUUAUUUAGAUGGACCUGACCAAGUCACAUGAACUUUCACAUAAGGUUCUACAGGUCAGAGACAGAGGAAAAAAUCGUAACUCAAAAUACAGAAAGUAUUCAACUUCUCUUUGAAGAUUUAGGGGUCCAUGUAACAGAAAACAGUGGGCCCAACCCAAAGGGGCUCAAAGUGGAUUCUUCUCCAGAGCCUCUAUACCUUGAGUGAAACUCCUUUAGCAGAGAAUCCAGUAAAAUCAAACCUGGAGUUGUAACAUAUAGAAAUGUAAGAUCAUAAAUGGAUGUUGUUUAAGUUACUAAGUUUUUGGUAUUUUUAUAUAGUAAUAUAAAAUUAAUUCAAGUAGGACUAUAAUUUUCAAAUUCUCAAACUUCAUGAUACAGGUAGAAGGGAUCAUGUUCCUCCAUAACUCAAAGUGUUAGUGUGAAGUAUCUGGCACAGUCCUCUCCAAUAAGAAUAAAAUAUGAAUCACAAAUGUAAUUUUAAUCUCCUAAAAAACAAAAUUAAUAAGUGAAAAUAAACAGGUAUAAUUAAUCAUAAUAUAUCUUAAUAUAUCAAAAAUAUUAUCAUCUCAAAAUGGGAUAAAUACAAGAUACCAGUAUUAUUCAUUGUCUGUCUGUUUCUUGUAUUGUCUUCAAAAUCCAAUGUGUAUACUGCACCUUCCGCACUUCACUAUUUCCACUGGCUACAUUUCAAGUGUUCAAUAGUUUCAAGAGAUUAGUUGCUACACUACUGGGUAUUGCAGUUCUGGGACUUAGUAGUUUUUUUAUAUACUAUAGUUUCCUUUUCUCCCUGCCCUACUUCCCCUCCGAUUAACACAGUGCAUAAUAUGAAAAGACCAUCUUACUCAUGACAAAAAUAUGUUUUGACUUUUAUAAACAUAAAUUAAGAUAAUGAGAAAGCGUGUUACAAUAGUAGUACAUAGAAAUAGAAAUAGGGAUCUAUAUGAAAAGUUUGAUUGUUUACAUCAGGCAGCAGUCAAAAUAAGAAGAAAAAAAGAGUUUGAGUUUUUUACAAUUUUUUUAUACUCUAGUAGACAUUUUUCAAUAUAUAAAAAGUAUUGCAUAAGUUGAUUAAUGUUAAUGAUAAGAUAGUAUAUUACUUGGUAGUAUUCAUGUACUUAGUUUAUAAAUGAUAUAGUUGGUAAGAAAGGACUCAUAACUCAUGGAAUGAUAGAGUGGAGACAUUUGCAUAUUACAUUGGUUUUUCUUACUGAAUCUGACAAGUUUGAAAAGAGGAAUUAAAGAAAAAUAUUACUGCCAGUAAAUUAUGAUAAUUAAUAAAUUGUCAUACGAUAGAAUGAUAGCUAGGAAUGCUGUGUUACCACAAAGGGUUGAAUUGCCUAGGCACACACACACAUCACAGAUAUUCCCCAGCAUUAAACUUUCCUAAAGACUCAAAAAUACAGAAAGCACAAGCUAUAGAGGAGCUAUUUUAUAGAACUCUUUCAAUCCAUCAGAUGCAACAUCUGACAAAACAUUCCUUUUUGUUCUCUGCAUUUGAACACAUGUUGGUUUAGGUUUAAUAGAAUGUAUUAUAGUAAUCACUUUGGUUUUUGAAGUAUCUUGUAUAAAACAGAUGUUACAUGUAUGUAGUUUUAAACACUCUGAACAAAUUCUAAAAACUCAAGAGCAGUGCAUUAAUAUGCUUAGGACUCCUGAGAAGAUAGUGAUAGAGGAUCUGGGUCUAGGUAAUCUACCAACAAAACAGUUGAUUAAGUGGAGCCAUUUUGGUUUAGGUAUUCUUUCAUUUUACAUACUGUUAAUUACUAAAUAGAACACAUUCAUGUGGCUACCUUCUGUUCUUCAAACAGCCAUGCCCCUUGAAUACAUCAGUUCUAGUUUAUUUAUGGUAAUCAACUUAAUCUGUGCAGAAAGAUCCUAUUAAAUUAUCUUAUAGAUAGAAACCCUUCUUUGUAUUAGUAAAUGCCAGUAAUAUGUUUAUUUAAAAAUUAUUUGAAGACGAUUGUGUGAUUGUAUUGUUGACACACCUAUUCAGCUAGUCAUCCCUUAACAAGUCUGCAUUGAGCUAUUUAUUAACCCAUCACCGUUCUUAAGUCUUCCUUUUUCAGAUUUUAUAGUCCAUUUUUUUAUUAGUUAAUAUAUUUUUGUGUAGCUUUAAAUAUAUGUGUAUAAAUUGUAGACCAACUGAACAAAAAUAUUCUGCACCAUUAAAAUGAAGGUUAACGAUCUGGAAACUAUGAUUAUAUAUAUAGUUCAUUUUUAGAAAAUACUGUGCAAGCCUAGGUAACAUGCACUUACAGAUAUGCCCUCAUUAGAUACUCACAGGAACAAUAUAAGAUAAGCGUUUUUAUCCCUAAUUCACAGAUGCGGAAAAUGAGCCUCAGAGUUAUUGAAUAAUUUAUCCGUAGUGUCAAAAACAGUGACUGGCAAAACUGUAAUUUAAACUGAUUUAUGUCAGACUCUGCUAUUACUUACAUUUUAUGUGUGUAUUGAGGGUGCAGAGAGAAAGUAGAUUAGAGUAAGAGAGUUGAGAGAGAAAAAGUGUAAUUAAUGAGCAAAAAUUAAUGAGCUAGCGAGCUACAAACUGCUUGAAAUAUCAGCUGUAUUAUUUUGUAAUCAAACUGCAUACAACUAUUAAUUUCUGUAAAACAUGUGUUUUGUUCACUUUGGAAAAAUAUAAAUUAAAAUGAUGCUAUCCAUUUACUUACUCAAUUGAUGUUAAUAUGUGUAUAAUUACAGAAUUGUAUAAGAAGACUCAGGUGGCAGAAAUGAGUGGAGGCCUUAAUGAUAAGAGAGAAAACCAAUCUGGCUCAGGGUAAUCUUUUGCUUAUUUAUAUGAUCAAAAUAAGAUGUUUCAAAAUGGAAACAGCCAGAGUCUAUAUUCUUUUCUUACGACAUGCUUAAAAUGUAGAAAGUACAAGAUUUUGGCUUAAAAAUGCCUAGUUGAUUAAAUUUUAUAACCUUGAAAUAGGAUUUUAUAAGAUUUUGCAGUGAAUACUGCAAAAAAAUGGGUUUGCAUGCUGCAUAAGAUCUUAUCUAUUGGUUUAUUUCACAGAUUCUGUGUAAUCAAAUAUCUGACAUCUAGUUGUUAUCCUGAAUAUGUGCUAAAUUUAAUCUAUAAAAAGGGACAGGGAGGAAGGAAUAUCAAAUCAUCUAGUCAUUUUACCAUGAAAAUAAGUAAUAUAUACAUGUUAUUGACUAAAGGGUACUUAUUACUUACACCCUAAAAAAUUGCUUGAGCAUGUAACUGAAUAGUGCCCAUGGACCCAUCUUACUUAUUUUGAAAUACAGCAAAUAUACAGAUGUAUUACUCAUGUAGAGGUAUUUAUAUCAAAAGUAAAAAACAAUUAAAUUUCUCACAACUUAUAAGAGCAGCAAUCUCCAUAGGAACCAGUGUCAAAAUAGGAAAAACUUAAGGGUUCUUGACAAAUUGCUGGAGGCUCAUUAUGGAAGAGUCUGAAAGAUUAAAAACUCCUGUGCUACAGUCUUUGGGACCCCCCCCCCCAUUUGUUUCUGAGUUUUGCCUUCAGGAGCUCUGCCAGGUUCUCAUAAUGAAUAUCAGAGAAAAUUACCCUCAAGCUUUCAGCAGUGGGUGGGUAAAGGAACCAUUUUGAAAUUUUCCAGAACAGUCUUUUCUUUACAAGAUUUACCUACAGGAGAAACCAGUUAAAGAAAGCCUAAACUGCUGGGGUUUUAUCUGAGCCUACAUGACCUUGGGGAAGGGAAACACAGAACUCCAGCCCCUCCUUUCUUUACGUGGAAAAUGCCGAAACCCAGCUCACUCUAGCCAUUGUGUCCCACCUAAAGGGGUGGGAAAACAAAGCAAAAAAAAAAGUUGAGAAGCAGAUUCGAAGUUCACAACUCAGGCACAGGCUCACGAAAAGACUAGAGCUACUAACAGGAUUAAAGAAAACCCCCUUUCUCCUAGUACACCAUAUCGUCGCAUUACUAAAGGCCUAUUUACAAUUCCUUUUAACCAGCCCAUUUCCAACUAUCAAGAAAACAAUUUACAAUACAUAACAAAAGACAAAA